rnacentral:sRNA from 1 species
CUGCAGACCCGUCGUUCAUCCAUGCUGAGCUCAUUCCUGACAGCGCGGAGCGCAAUGAUGAUAAGCUUUACUUCUUCUUCCGUGAGCGGUCGGCAGAGGCGCCGCAGAGCCCCGCUGUGUACGCCCGCAUCGGGCGCAUUUGUCUGAACGAUGACGGUGGUCACUGUUGCCUGGUCAACAAGUGGAGCACAUUCCUGAAAGCGCGGCUCGUCUGCUCUGUCCCGGGCGAGGAUGGCAUUGAGACUCACUUUGAUGAGCUCCAGGACGUGUUUGUCCAGCAGACCCAGGACGUGAGGAACCCUGUCAUUUACGCUGUCUUUACCUCUUCUGGCUCCGUGUUCCGAGGCUCUGCCGUGUGUGUCUACUCCAUGGCUGAUAUUCGCAUGGUCUUCAAUGGGCCCUUUGCCCACAAAGAGGGGCCCAACUACCAGUGGAUGCCCUUCUCAGGGAAGAUGCCCUACCCACGGCCAGGCACGGUAAGGACCCCACUCAUCCUGCUUCUCCCCUUCCUCUUCUUCUA